GUUGUGAGGUAGAGAAGAAGGUGGUGGCUCUCAGGGAAGAAUCUUGGUGUGGAUUGGUGGUGGAGUGAUUGUGUGGAGGUAUUAGUGGUGUAGCGGCAUAACCCUAAUAUCCAGGAUCAGAUACAAAGGCACUGUCUGGCAGACUAGCAGGAUGUGCACUCAUCCUGAUUGGCUCUGUGGAAGGUGUGGCAUAGUGUCAGAAUGCAAUCCACCAAUGACUGGCAACCAGUGUGAGAGCUGGUGAAUGCAUACUCCACGUUCAUCCCCAAGCUCAUGUAUGCAUCCCAAGCUUGGUCGUCUUCCCUGAACCUAACCCAGCAUCAUAAACUGGAGCAGGUCCAGAAGAGAGCCACCUAGGUGAUCCCGAGGCUCAGCUACACCACCUACCAGGAAACUCUAGCCACCCUUUCACCUCACCAGAUUCCAGGACCACCACCACCUCUUUUAGCAGUUUGCUAAAAACUCCACCACCUACAUCACAGAAAUCUCCUCCCCCAAGCUGCACCUCCAUCUCGCCACAGUGUUAGACAUUAUAAAGAACUGCUUCCUAUAUGUGCCUGUACAGACAGAUAUAAAAACAGUGCUAUCCAACAACAGUGAAAAUCUUAAACAAUGAACUCUAACCAAUCUCUAGUGCACAAAGCAUAUGUAUUAGCUUAAGUAUUCCAUUAGUGUUAGCAUGUCUUAAUCCCCUGUAUAUGUGUUUUUUCACCUCUCAAGCUGCUUAUUACUGUUUAAUAAACUUUAUUAUUAUUAUUAUUAUUAUUAUUAUUAUUAUUAUUAUUAUUAUUAUUAUUAUUAUUAUUAUUAUUAUUAUCAUAAUCAACAUGAAGCUGAGUUGAAGGAGAGGUGAAUCAUGCUGAAUGGUGAAUGAGAGUUGGGUAUGUGUCUCCAGCUGCUUCUUAAAUGUGAAUGACUCUCAAAAUAUGAUGCAAACUAAGAAGGGUUUUGUUCCAGAAGCUUAGAUCUGCUAGAAAUGAAUCCUCAUUGGUUCAUCCACUCAUUAUGGUGGAUUGUUAAACUUUAACAGAAAUUAUUACCCAUCACCAUGAAACACUAUUAGAACAAUAAUUUCAACAAGAUUCAGGUGAUACAAGGCUCAAGUACUUUUUGUGGGCCACCUCUCGUAUCAUGUAUAGCACAAAAUCAGGCUGUGUUAAACUAAGGUUUGGAAGGUUUAUGUCAAGAGAAAGAGUGAGGAAUGUAUGCCUCCAUGCUAGACACUUAUGACCUCUGUUAUAUGUUCAGCACACAAAAAUGGGUCUCUGACAUGGAAGCAGUAGUCAUUCCAAGGAAAAUUGGAAUAAUACCUCCUCAGGUCCCCCCAAUUAACAGACGCAAAAUGCCAGAGGCACCUCUGGUUUGGGGGAUCCAGAGAAGGGAUUAGAACAAUAAGACAAGAUACAGAUAUGAGGUUGCAAUUGCAGGAGCCCAGCAGCAUAAGCAGAAGGAUUAGAGGUUAGGAAAAUAUCUGUAAGACAGUCAGGAAUACAAGUAGAGUGUUGCACCAGCUGCUCUAGGUCAUGGAGGAUAGCAAAGUUAAAGGCUAGUUCACCAGGAUGGUCAGUGAAGCGAGAGGAAAGCCAGAGCUGGUGGUGAACACUGAAGUCUCCAAGAAUGGAGAUCUUUGCAAAAGGGAAGAGUCAGAAUGUGCUCCAAUUUGGAAGUAAAGUGGUCAAAUAAUUUCUUAUAGUCAGAGGAGUUAGGUGAGAGGUAUACAGCACAGAUAUGUUUAAUAUGAAAGUAACUCUGUUGUCAUAGCCAAAGAGUAGAAAAUUUGUAAGAUUCAAGAAUGUGGGCACAAGAGCAGGUUAAGUUGUUGCCCACAUAGGUGUAACAUCCAACUUUGGAUGGAAAAUGAGGAUAGAGAAAGUAGGUGUGAACAGAGAAGGGGCUACUGUCAACUGCCUCUGACACUAUGUUUCAAUUAGGAAAAGAUGAGGUUUAAUAGAGUGGAGAUGGUGUUUUACAGACUAAAAAUUAGAUCUAAUCACAACUGUUGUAGAAGUUAAUGAAAAAAAAAAGUUGAAGGGGGUGUCAAUACCAGAAGGGCAGCCUGACCUGGGGAUAUUUGUGGUCCCCUCCUUGGACAGAGACUCCAAGGCUGAUGUUGGGAGUUGCCAUAUUUAAUUUAGAAUUUUGAGUGAAGCAUGUGUGUGUAAAUAGGUGCAUGUAGUUUUCUGUAAAGGAAGAGAGUUGUCUUUACAGUACAUUGCUUGCCUCAUUCUUAAUUGUAAUUGCCACAUGUUUGUUUUGUGUAUGUCUUGGUGUUUAUCUUGUUGAUCUGUGCAAAGUAUAGUCAAGCUUUUUCAUGUGUUUAGUUUGUUUUUGCUUAGUUGUGUCUGUUUUGUCUAUGUGACUAGUUGUGUGUUUUAUUUGUUGCAGUGCAUGGCUGGAGUACAAUUGUUUGAACAAUAAAACCUUAGUUAAGUAGACUCCUGGUUUAUUUCACAAACAAAAUUUUGAACUCCUAAUUGCUUCUGUUGCCGUACCAUAAUUCAGUUUUCAAACAAGCUAUGUGGCAGCCAGCACACAUAUGAUCACAAUAUGCUCAGUGCAUGUCCAUACCAAAUGGUUUUCUUUUUGGCUUUCAUAUUUAUAGCUUAAAUUUCUAUUUGGUUAUAAAUGAACAUCUAAGUGUUAAGUGUUGGGGAGUAGUGACACACUACUUUCUUCUUUCUCUCACCCCUAUUCUGUCCACCUCUCUAAUGCAAGAGUUAACCAGUAUUCUCAAUCAUUCAUCCCUUUCUCUGGUAAACUCUGGAACUCCCUGCCUGCUUCUGUAUUUCCACCUUCAUAUGACUUGAAUUCCUUCAAGAGGGAGGUUUCAAGACACUUAUUCAUCAAUUUUUGACCACUGCUUUGACCCUUUUAUGGGACUGGCAUUUCAGUGGGCAUUUUUUUUUAUUAGAUUUUUGUUGCCCUUGGCCAGUGUUCUUCCUA